CAACCCUCAAGCCCCAGCGGUUUGGUGUUGGGGACCGGCGAGUACAGAGGCUUGGGGGGACUUGUCCCUCUUUCCUCGGCGCCGCCCCCGAAAUGAAUUGGCGGUCUCGUCGCGGCCUCCUCUGCGUAGUAGCACAACCUCGCAUCAGGAGCGCGGCGCGGCCACUGCCGUAAAACGCCCAACUUUUUUAAGAG
rnacentral:misc_RNA from 1 species